CUUAUGUUGGCAUUAUAAAUACUAAUAUUGGCAUGAUACAGAGAAAAUUAGCAUGACCCCUGUGCAAGGCUGACACGCAAAUUCAUACAAUUUUCAAUAUUUGG